UAACUAGGUGUAUUGUGACUAGGUGUAUUGUGAGUAGGUGUAUUGUGACUAGGUGUCUUGUGACUAGGUGUCUUGUGACUAGGUGUCUUGUGAGUAGGUGUAUUGUGACUAGGUGUAUUGUGACUAGGUGUCUUGUGACUAGGUGUCUUGUGAGUAGGUGUAUUGUGACUAGGUGUAUUGUGACUCGGUGUAUUGUGACUAGGUGUAUUGUGACUCGGUGUAUUGUGACUAUGUGUCUUGUGACUAGGUGUCUUGUGACUAGGUGUCUUGUGAGUAGGUGUAUUGUGACUAGGUGUAUUGUGACUCGGUGUAUUGUGACUAGGUGUAUUGUGACUCGGUGUAUUGUGACUAUGUGUCUUGUGACUAGGUGUCUUGUGAGUAGGUGUAUUGUGACUAGGUGUCUUGUGACUAGGUGUCUUGUGAGUAGGUGUAUUGUGACUAGGUGUAUUGUGACUCGGUGUAUUGUGACUCGGUGUAUUGUGACUCGGUGUAUUGUGACUAUGUGUCUUGUGACUAGGUGUCUUGUGAGUAGGUGUAUUGUGACUAGGUGUCUUGUGACUAGGUGUCUUGUGAGUAGGUGUAUUGUGACUAGGUGUAUUGUGACUCGGUGUAUUGUGACUAGGUGUAUUGUGACUCGGUGUAUUGUGACUAUGUGUCUUGUGACUAGGUGUAUUGUGACUAGGUGUAUUGUGACUAGGUGUAUUGUGACUAGGUGUAUUGUGACUCGGUGUAUUGUGACUAGGUGUAUUGUGACUAGGUGUAUUGUGACUAGGUGUAUUGUGACUCUGUGUAUUGU